UGUGGAGCUCAGUGGCAGAGCAUUUUGCUCAGCAUGCAGAAGGCCCUGGGUUUGAUUCCCAGAACUACAA
rnacentral:tRNA from 1 species